rnacentral:rRNA from 1 species
UAACGCGUGGAUAACCUGCCUCACACAGGGGAGUAACAGUUAGAAAUGACUGCUAAUACCGCAUAAGCGCACGGUACCGCAUGGUACAGUGUGAAAAACUACCGGUGGUGUGAGAUGGAUCCGCGUCUGAUUAGGUAGUUGGUGAGGUGACGGCCCACCAAGCCGACGAUCAGUAGCCGACCUGAGAGGGUGACCGGCCACAUUGGGACUGAGACACGGCCCAA